UACGUAGGUGGCAAGCGUUGUCCGGAAUUAUUGGGCGUAAAGCGCGCGCAGGCGGUUCCUUAAGUCUGAUGUGAAAGCCCCCGGCUCAACCCGGGGAGGGUCAUUGGAAACUGGGGAACUUGAGUACUGAAGAGGAAAGCGGAAUUCCACGUGUAGCGGUGAAAUGCGUAGAGAUGUGGAGGAACACCAGUGGCGAAGGCGCGUUCUGGUCAGUAACUGACGCUGAGGCGCGAAAGCGUGGGGAGCAAACAGG
rnacentral:rRNA from 1 species